GAUGAACGCUGGCGGCGUGCCUAAUACAUGCAAGUCGAGCGAAAAGACGAGGAGCUUGCUCCUCUGACGUUAGCGGCGGACGGGUGAGUAACACGUGGAUAACCUACCUAUAAGACUGGGAUAACUUCGGGAAACCGGAGAUAAUACCGGAUAAUCUAUUGAACGGCAUGGUUUAAUAGUGAAAGACGGUUUUGCUGGCACUUAUAGAUGGAUACCCGCCGCAUUAGGUAGUGGGUAAGGUAACGGCUUACGAAGGCGCCGAUGCGUAGCCGACCUGAUAGAGUGAUAGCCCGCCUUGGAGGUGAGACACGGACCAGGGGCCUGCGGGAGGCAGCAGUAGGGAAUCGGCCGCAGUGGUCGAGAGCCUGACGGAGCAACGCCGCGUGAGUGAUGAAGGUGCUCGGAGCGUAAUACUCGGUUUUUAGUUAAGAACAGAUGUGUAAGUAACUAUGCACGGCGUGACGGUACCGAGUCAGAAAGCCACGGCUAACUACGUG
rnacentral:rRNA from 1 species